rnacentral:ncRNA from 1 species
GAAGUCCACUGCGAUGAAGGAGUAGCGAUCCACAUCGGCCCCGAGCCGUGCGCAGGCGUCCGCGAGGAUGUCGGCGAAGCGUCGGCAGGGAGCGCAUAGGCCAGCCAUCGAGCCGCGAAAGAAUGUUUUCCCGAGAGCCGACGCUGUCAACUGAGCGGAAGGCAACACGAAGGGGCGCGAUAUCGCGAGCGCCCGGUCGUCUCGGAGUGGUCACAGACCC